rnacentral:rRNA from 1 species
AACGAACGCUGGCGGCAGGCCUAACACAUGCAAGUCGAACGCUGUAGCAAUACAGAGUGGCAGACGGGUGAGUAACGCGUGGGAAUCUUCCUAUCGGUACGGAAUAGCUCAGGGAAACUUGGGGUAAUACCGGAUACGCCCUUCGGGGGAAAGAUUUAUCGCCGAUAGAUGAGCCCGCGUCUGAUUAGCUAGUUGGUGAGGUAAUGGCUCACCAAGGCGACGAUCAGUAGCUGGUCUGAGAGGAUGACCAGCCACACUGGGACUGAGACACGGCCCAGACUCCUACGGGAGGCAGCAGUGGGGAAUAUUGGACAAUGGGGGCAACCUUGAUCCAGCCAUGCCGCGUGAGUGACGAAGGUCUUCGGAUUGUAAAGCUCUUUUGGCGGGGACGAUAAUGACGGUACCCGCAGAAUAAGCCCCGGCUAACUUCGUGCCAGCCGCCGCGGUAA